rnacentral:lncRNA from 1 species
CAUACACAGAAGUAUUUCCCCCAUCAACCACCAGAUAAAUGGAUAAUGGGAAUUUUGUACAUAUGUAAAAUGGGAUUGCAUAUGGAUCUAUCUGCAAUCUUCUACAUGUCAGCAUCCAGUUAUGCCAACACCAUUUGUUGAAGAUGCUUUCUUUUUUUCCAUUGUAUAAUUUUAGCUUCUUUGUCAAAAUCUGGUGUUCGUAGAUGUGUGGAUUAAUAUCAGGGUUUUCAGUUCGAUUCCAUUGGUCUACCUGUCUGUUUUUGUAUCAACAUCAAUCUAUUUUCAUUACUAUAGCUCGAUAGCAGAGCUUGAAGUCUGGGAUGGUGAUGCCUCCAGAAGUUCCUUUAUUGUACAGGGUUGUUUUGGCUAUCCUGGGUUUUUUGUUUUUCCAUAUGAAGUUGAGUAAAAAAAAAAAAAUAAGUUUAAACAUCACAGGCAUUCAUAAUCCUUCCAUUAAGGACAAAAAAUUAGAGUAUGUAAUGUAUUUUCCUGAGUGCAGGAUGACAGUCACUAAUCAAAAACAAGAUUAAUUGGAAUAAGUGGUUAAAAUACCUUGUUAAGCAGAAUAAAUAUAAAACUAUAUAAAUCAAAAAAAUAAAAUGGGACACUUCUUGGCUCUAAAGAAAAUGAAGUAAAAAACUUGGCAGGAAAAUGGAUGGACUUGAAUGUAAGAUAUUAAGCAAGAUCACACAACCUCGGAAAUAAACCACAUGUUCUCUUUCGUAUGUGGAGUCUAGCCAAUUAUAUAUGCAUAUGUGUAAGCCAGUGCCCAUGUGGGUGCAGCAUAACACAAAGAAAGGGAAAUAAGACAGGACGAACAUAUAGGGAAUGAGGAAGGGCUGACUGCAGGUGACCAACAGGGUUAUGAAGGAGGAGAUAAAGAUAACUGUUUUUCUAGUUCUAACUCAUAGAUUUUGGUUUUGGUUUUAAUGGAGGAUAAGAACAUAAAAUAUAUUUGACUCCAAAUACAUAAAUUUUAAGGUGAAGUUCCUCAUCUUCUGCUCUGAAUGCAUAGAUGUUCACUGAGUUGCUUAAACUUGGGGUCUGGUUAAUGUUGGUACAGAACAGGCCUUGACGAGUGCACAUCUGUUUUCAAUGUGAAUUACUGAAUAUUUUAAGCCCACUGUUGAGGAAAAAGAGACUCCUUUCAAAAUACGGCAAUUGGCAGUAUUUUCCUUGUUAUGCAGGAGAUUACUGCUGUUUUGGACAGAUGAGCAGCAGCUGACCUUUCUGAGGUAUUUGACAAAUUCCAACAGCAGCACCAUCUGGGACUGAGGUGGCCACUGGGCAAGAUCUAAAGACCAGGCUUCCCUGGGACUGAAGAGAAGAACAGAGAAACUAACUCGUGGAAAGGAAGGGGGAUGUGAAGCCCCUAUACCUGUUCUAACACAAAGCAUGCGUGCAGCCUGCAGCAGACUUUGAUUCCACAAAUAACACCACUGCCUUGGGGAGCAGCAGAGACAGCUGACCCGGCAGCAGCUGCAUGGAAAAUGCUAUUUAAAGACUCAGCUUUUGCAGCGCAGGACUCUG